CGUUAUGCGACUAACUUCGUUCAGGUGAUGUUCACAUGCAAGACUCCAUCACUGGGCAAAGUUUGUCGCAUAAA
rnacentral:pre_miRNA from 1 species